rnacentral:rRNA from 1 species
AGAGUUUGAUCAUGGCUCAGAUUGAACGCUGGCGGCAGGCCUAACACAUGCAAGUCGAGCGGUAACAGAUCUAGCUUGCUAGAUGCUGACGAGCGGCGGACGGGUGAGUAAUGCAUAGGAAUCUGCCCUGUAGUGGGGGAUAACCUGGGGAAACCCAGGCUAAUACCGCAUACGUCCUACGGGAGAAAGGGGGCUUCGGCUCCCGCUACGGGAUGAGCCUAUGUCGGAUUAGCUAGUUGGUGAGGUAACGGCUCACCAAGGCGACGAUCCGUAGCUGGUCUGAGAGGAUGAUCAGCCACAUCGGGACUGAGACACGGCCCGAACUCCUACGGGAGGCAGCAGUGGGGAAUAUUGGACAAUGGGGGGAACCCUGAUCCAGCCAUGCCGCGUGCAGGAAGACUGCCCUAUGGGUUGUAAACUGCUUUUACAGAGGAAGAACCACUCCCACGUGUGGGAGUUUGACGGUACUCUGCGAAUAAGGAUCGGCUAACUCCGUGCCAGCAGCCGCGGUAAUACGGAGGAUCCAAGCGUUAUCCGGAAUCAUUGGGUUUAAAGGGUCCGUAGGCGGGCAGUUAAGUCAGUGGUGAAAGUCUUCCGCUCAACGGGAGAACUGCCAUUGAUACUGAUUGUCUUGAGUUAUUAUGAAGUGGUUAGAAUGAGUAGUGUAGCGGUGAAAUGCAUAGAUAUUACUCAGAAUACCGAUUGCGAAGGCAGAUCACUAAUAAUAUACUGACGCUGAUGGACGAAAGCGUAGGUAGCGAACAGGAUUAGAUACCCUGGUAGUCUACGCCGUAAACGAUGGUUACUAGCUGUUCGGCCCGAUUAAGGGCUGAGUGGUUAAGCGAAAGUGAUAAGUAACCCACCUGGGGAGUACGUUCGCAAGAAUGAAACUCAAAGGAAUUGACGGGGGCCCGCACAAGCGGUGGAGCAUGUGGUUUAAUUCGAUGAUACGCGAGGAACCUUACCAGGGC